rnacentral:rRNA from 1 species
AUUGAACGCUAGCGGGAUGCUUUACACAUGCAAGUCGAACGAGUGGCGGACGGGUGAGUAAUAUAUCUGAACGUGCCCAGUAGCGGGGGAUAACUACUCGAAAGAGUGGCUAAUACAGCCUAAUAUUUGUGCGGCAGUUAUCGGAUUAGCUAGGUGGUGGGGUAAAGGCUAAACAAGGCAACGAUCCGUAGAUGGUUUGAGAGGACGACCAGCCACACUGGUACUGAGACACGGCCCAGACUCCUACGGGUGGCAGCAGUGGGGAAUUUUGGACAAGUGGGGAAACCCUGAUCCAGCCAUCCCGCGUGUAUGAGAAGGCCUUCGUGUUGUAAAGUACUUUUGGCAGAGAAGCGGUAUCUGCAGAAUAAGCACCGGCUAACUACGUGCCAGCAGCCGCGGUAAUUC